CAUAUACUGUCUCAGAAAAGUGUUUUUUUUUUUUAUCCAUUCCUUAACAAUGAAAGCUUCCGAGACUGCUUCCUCCAUCCAUUACCAUAGUAACACAUGGUUCCUGGCCCAUUCCCAAUGGCCUUUUUUGGCCUGUCACCAUAGCUACACAUAGAGUUUGCAUACUCAGUCUCCAUUUGUCAAUGAUAUAAUAAUGGGCCAUUGCUUUCUCAUGGCACUGAAGCAAAUGAAUCUGGAGUCACCAAACACAGAACCUAGCUCAGCGGGAGUAAUGUGAUAGCAAUGAAGAAGACAGAAUGAAAGUUAUUAAAGGGAAGACUUAAAAAGUCUUGAGACAGGAAGUCUGGAAGAAUGGCAGCCCUACUGAAAGAAAUAGAUCUCGAUGAAGAAGUUCAGGACCAAUGUGAUAAAACAAUGACAUGCCCUGGAAGUAGCUCUGCAAAUAUUUCUACAAAUUCCCAAGAAUGGUUCCGAGUAGGAUUGAGCCAUUCUGAAGUUGACCAAGAUAACGCCAAUGCUGUUUCCUGUUAGUCAUUUUAUGAGUAGAACAUCCGAACUCCUACAUUCCAGUAUUCUAAGCUGAAGACAAAUAAAUCUUGUUGCUCUCUGGUUUUAAGGGGUGAUAAAGUUGUUUAACUUUUGCAUGAAAGUGAUUUUUAAGUAAUUGUUAAAUCUGGAAAACUCAUUUACUUUCAAUGCCAAAUACAUUUGGGAGACCAAGUGAAACAGUUCAGAGUUCUUGAUUUGCUAAGGCAUCAGUGUGAUGUGGCAAAAAGUCAGUAGUCAGAGUGAGAAGAGCUGGGUUCAAGUUCUGACAUGUAAAAUACAGUGAAUGAUAGUCAUAUGAUAUACUGUAUACUGUAUAUGUAUGUAUACAUGCCCACACAUAAUCC